GUUCAGGUUGCGGUUUGCGUCACUCGGUCCCGUCCCGCCCACUGCCCACGUGAGCGGCAGCGCUGCGCGGGGGCGGCCGAGCCGCGGGCAGGCGCCUGCAGGAGCGGCGGCGGUGGCGAGCCGGCGGCGGGGGUUGUGCACUGCUCUGCCGUUCCCCUGCUGGUGGAGAUGUGGUUAUAGCGCACACACAAAUGUCUUGUUGCCUCCUGUGAUGUUCUGCAGCCUCCUGCGAUUUUCCUAGUGAAAAAAGGCGGUUUUGUAUUGCAAGUUCAAUAGGGCUGCAGGGCAGCUGCCUGUGUCACCAGGGAGCCCUUGCUGCCGGCCAGAACAUCUGCCCUGCCUGUGAUGGAAACGCGAGAAGCAAAGCGGUGUAACCAGAAAAACACUCUGGCUUCCACUCCCGGGCAGGAUGGAGCAGACCCCUGAUCCUGAGGAGGUGGGAUGUGACCCCGGAGAGAGCCACAGCCCAGUGCCACGUUGUUCUUGUGGUGGUGUGUGACAAAGCCUGGGACAGCCAUGGGCUGCAGGCCUUCAGCAGCUUGCAAUCAGCCAGGACAGUCACCUGAGUUGGCUCCAGGUGAAUCCCAUCCCAUAAACUCCAGGUGAACCCCAUCCCCCCUUGGUAUAAAGGGGGAAGUUUGAUGACAGGGCCUUCUACUUCCCUGCAUCCUGCUCCUAAGGCUGCUUUCCUGUUUGCUGUGCCUGCUCUGCAUUCCCGGGGCUGAGGAUAAUUUUAGCUGCUUGAUACUGGGUUCAUGCCAAAGUGCUGCGUUCCUCCUGGGGAUGCAAAGUGAUCCAGAUUUGGCUGUUGAAUGUGGCUUUCUCUUCUCUGAUGAGAAAGGCCACAGCAGCAACCUGGAUUUUUACACACUUUUUAGCUACUCCAUCAAGUUUUGGAACCUACUUGGAGCUGCUGCUCAGCGUCGCUGCAGGGCUGGUCCAUCCAGCCUGGCAUCCCCUUGCCUGCUUGGCUCUACUCUCCCUGCAGUGACCAGCAAACGCUGGUUGUGUUUCCUUAGUGCUUUCAUCCUCUGUUUUCUGCUCUCUCUGCUCCUGCUGAUGCCACCAGAGCUUCCUCCUGUAGUACUAUAUGAUGUUAUGAUGUUCACAGCAUGUUCUGCUGUUUUAUUAAUGAGGAUGAAACCAAUUUAUAAACCUCCUUAAGUUCACAAACAGCUAAGUCCCACUACUCCCUAAUCAUCUUCUGGCUUUUAAACAUGCUUUGCAGGACUUUCAACCCUCGUCAGCCAGCCUGGAGUCCCUUAUCAGGCAGGAUCAGCUGGACAUGUCCCUGUGGGCAUCCCACUGUGUUCUGCUUGCCAAAUGCUCUCUGGAAUCACUCAGAAUACUCCUCAGACCGAGGUUAUCUAUUUCCCGGAGGUGCUUUCAGGGCAUGGUUUUAAGGAAUUGCUAGUUAUGUGUCCUAGUUCUUGUGGAAACCUCCAAGGGGAUCUGAUUUUCAGAAGGCAUCGAGGACAGAAGAACAGGCCACAUUCCGCUUUCGGGUACUCUGAAAUUACCAUCUGUUAACUCUUGGCCACUUCUGCCUCCAUUGCCCCUGCUGUACUCUGUCCUUGCACAUCAUCAAGCACGAAGAUGAGUGUUUUGUCUUGCCAUGGAGAAAGGGUCUAAUCUGAGGAAUCACAAUGGAUGUGGAA